CCUACGGGCGGCAGCAGUGGGGAAUAUUGCACAAUGGGGGAAACCCUGAUGCAGCGACGCCGCGUGAGUGAAGAAGUAAUUCGUUAUGUAAAGCUCUAUCAGCAGGGAAGAAGAAAUGACGGUACCUGAGUAAGAAGCACCGGCUAAAUACGUGCCAGCAGCCGCGGUAAUACGUAUGGUGCAAGCGUUAUCCGGAUUUACUGGGUGUAAAGGGAGCGCAGGCGGCACGGCAAGCCUGAUGUGAAAGCCCGCGGCCCAACCGCGGGACUGCAUUGGGAACUACCGGGCUGGAGUGCCGGAGAGGUAGGCGGAAUUCCUAGUGUAGCGGUGAAAUGCGUAGAUAUUAGGAGGAACACCAGUGGCGAAGGCAGCCUACUGGACGGUGACUGACGCUGAGGCUCGAAAGCGUGGGGAGCAAACAGGAUUAGAUACCCGUGUAGUC
rnacentral:rRNA from 1 species